UCCCCGUUACCGGGGCAGUCUAGCUAGAGAAAUUCAACUAGCUACAAGGGUUGCGCUCGUUACUGGACUUAACCAUACAUCUCACGACACGAGCUGAAGACGGCCAUGCAACACCUGUCAUCGGGUUCUAAAAGCACAGUCUCCUUUCGGAGACCUUCCCGAGAUGUCAAACCUUGGUAAGGUUCUUCGUUUACUGUCGAAUUAAACAACACGCUCCACCGCUUGUGCGGGUCCCCGUCUAUUCCUUUAUGUUUUAAGCUUGCGCUCGUACUCCACAGGCGGGAUGCUUAACGCGUUAGCUUCGCUACUACCAGGAUCGAUACUGAUAACAGCUAGCAUCCAUCGUUUACGGCGUGGACUAC
rnacentral:misc_RNA from 1 species